UAAUUGCUGUGGCAUACGAGUUCACACUUAAGUGUUGACCGACUAUUUCUUUGUAUUUUCGGGAAACAAAGUUCUCUUCUAGUCUGCAAGCCGUUACACGCGGAAGCAACUUCAAGAAGAGGCGCGUUACCCACCUGCUUAUGUUGUGCGGGAUCAAUACAAACAGUGAACCACCGGUGCCAAUACAGCUUUCUU
rfam:Streptococcus iniae ITSA1 contig015, whole genome shotgun sequence.